rnacentral:rRNA from 1 species
CGGGGUGCAGCAGGCGCGAAAACUCUACAAUGCAGGCAACUGCGAUAGGGGAACAUCGAGUGAUACUCAUAUUGGGUGUCUGUCCUUCCGUCUAAAAAACGGGAGUUAGCAAGGGCCGGGCAAGACCGGUGCCAGCCGCCGCGGUAAUACCGGCGGCUCGAGUGGUGGCCGAUAUUAUUGAGUCUAAAGGGUCCGUAGCCGGCUUGGCAAGUCUCUUGGGAAAUCCGGCGGCUUAACCGUCGGUCGUCCGGGAGAUACUACUUUGCUUGGGACUGGGAGAGGCGUGAGGUACUCAGGGGGUAGGAGUGAAAUCCUGUAAUCCUUUGGGGACCACCGGUGGCGAAGGCGUCACGCCAGAACAGGUCCGACGGUGAGGGACGAAAGCUAGGGGCACGAACCGGAUUAGAUACCCGGGUAGUCCUAGCCGUAAACGAUGCUCGCUAGGUGUCACGACAAUCGUGAAUUGUCAUGGUGCCGUAGGGAAGCCGUGAAGCGAGCCACUUGGGAAGUACGACCGCAAGGUUGAAACUUAAAGGAAUUGGCGGGGGAGCACAAGGGCGAAUCGC